GUAGCGCCCGCGCCUCGGCGCGGGCGAGGAUUGAAAC
rfam:Gallionellales bacterium GWA2_60_18 gwa2_scaffold_142, whole genome shotgun sequence.